AUUACUCGUAUAGCCUGAAACUGAUUGGCUAGAGGGCAGGAGAGGGGAGUGGAAUUCCCGGUGUAGCGGUGAAAUGCGUAGAUAUCGGGAGGAAUACCAGUGGCGAAGGCGACUCUCUGGACUGGCCCUGACGCUGAGGCGCGAAAGCGUGGGGAGCGAACAGGAUUAGAUACCCUAGUA
rnacentral:rRNA from 1 species